rnacentral:rRNA from 1 species
CCUACGGGGGGCUGCAGUGGGGAAUAUUGGGCAAUGGGCGAAAGCCUGACCCAGCAACGCCGCGUGAGGGAAGAAGGUUCUCGGAUUGUAAACCUCUGUCCUUGGUGACGAAAAAAAUGACGGUAGCCAAGGAGGAAGCCCCGGCUAACUACGUGCCAGCAGCCGCGGUAAUACGUAGGGGGCAAGCGUUGUCCGGAAUGACUGGGCGUAAAGGGCGUGUAGGCGGCCGAUUAAGUCUGGAGUGAAAGUCCUGCUUUCAAGGUGGGAAUUGCUUUGGAGACUGGUUGGCUUGAGUGCGGAAGAGGCAAGUGGAAUUCCCAGUGUAGCGGUGAAAUGCGUAGAGAUUGGGAGGAACACCAGUGGCGAAGGCGACUUGCUGGGCCGUAACUGACGCUGAGGCGCGAAAGCGUGGGGAGCGAACAGGCUUAGAUACCCCGGUAGUC